AGUGAACGCUGGCGGCAUGCCUAACACAUGCAAGUCGAACGGCCACACAGUAAGCUCUCGCCUCUGACGGUGGCGAGUGACGGGUGGGUGAGGCGUACAUCGGAUUCCUCUAUUUCGUGGGGGAUAACGGAGGGACACUUCCGCUACUACAGCAUAUGUCCUACGGCUGAGAGCAGUGGUUCUACGCACUUUUCGUGUCUGUAUGAGACGAUGCCGCAUUGGCUAGUUGGCUGGGUAAAGGCCCACCAAGGCAACGAUCCGUAGCUGGGCUGAGAGGAUGAUCAGCCACACUGGAACUGAGACACGGUCCAGACUCCUACGGGAGGCAGCAGUAGGGAAUAUUGCGCAAUGGGCGAAAGCCUGAUCCAGCCAUGCCGCGUGAGUGAAGAAGGUCUUCGGGUUGUAAAGCUCUUUUAUUGGGGAAGAACAGAAGCGGAAGAAAACAUGGCUGUUCUGACGGUACCCAAAGAAAAAGCACCGGCUAACUUCGUG
rnacentral:rRNA from 1 species